rfam:Acholeplasma sp. CAG:878 genomic scaffold, scf97
AAUACUAGGCAAACGCUGCAUAAUUAUGUAGAGGAAAGUCCAUGCUUGCACUAUCUGUGAUGAUAGUAGUGAUUGUGCAUAGGGUAACCUAUGGUAGUUUAUAACUAACGGCGUCGAACUUAUCCAGUUUGGAUAUUAUUAGAUGUAAAGUGCCGCAGUGACGAAUCUUUUGGUAACAAAAGGGUGAAACGGGUAAACCCCACAAGCAAGAAACCCAAAUUAUGGUAGGGGAAUCUGAUUUAGGGAAUAAGAACCGAAGUUGGAAUCGAGUAAUCGAUAGAUAGAUGUUUGCCCCUUUCUUAUGAAAGGACAGAACGUGGCUUAUUAGU